GACGAACCGUCCUAACGUUGUCCGGAAUCACUGGGCGUAAAGGGCGCGUAGGCGGCUCGGUAAGUAGGGGGUGAAAUCCUGGAGCUCAACUCCAGAACUGCCUUUGAUACUGGCGAUCUUGAGUUCGGGAGAGGUGAGUGGAACUGCGAGUGUAGAGGUGAAAUUCGUAGAUAUUCGCAAGAACACCAGUGGCGAAGGCGGCUCACUGGCCCGAUACUGACGCUGAGGUGCGAAAGCGUGGGGAGCAAACAGG
rnacentral:rRNA from 1 species